rnacentral:rRNA from 3 species
AGACCGAUAGCGAACAAGUAGAGUGAUCGAAAGAUGAAAAGCACUUUGGAAAGAGAGUCAAAUAGCACGUGAAAUUGUUGAAAGGGAAGCGCUUGCAGCCAGACUUGCCUGUAGUUGCUUAUCUGGACUUUUGUCCAGUGCACUCUUCUGCGGGCAGGCCAGCAUCAGUUUGGGCGGUUGGAUAAAGGUCUCUGUCAUGUACCUCCUUUCGGGGAGGCCUUAUAGGGGAGACGACAUGCAACCAGCCUGGACUGAGGUCCGCGCAUCUGCUAGGAUGCUGGCGUAAUGGCUGUAAGCGGCCCGUCUUGAAACACGGACCAAG